rnacentral:rRNA from 1 species
UACGGAGGGUGCGAGCGUUAAUCGGAAUUACUGGGCGUAAAGCGCACGUAGGCUGUUGUGUAAGUCAGAGGUGAAAUCCCGCGGCUCAACCGCGGAACUGCCUUUGAUACUGCAUGACUGGAAUCCGGGAGAGGGUGGCGGAAUUCCAGGUGUAGGAGUGAAAUCCGUAGAUAUCUGGAGGAACAUCAGUGGCGAAGGCGGCCACCUGGACCGGAAUUGACGCUGAGGUGCGAAAGCGUGGGGAGCAAAC